AACGGCCGCGGUAUCCUAACCGUGCGAAGGUAGCGUAAUCACUUGUUCUUUAAAUGCGGACUAGUAUGAAUGGCACUACGAGGGUUAUACUGUCUCCUUUUUCUAAUCAGUGAAACUAAUUUUCCCGUGAAGAAGCGGGGAUACAACUAUAAGACGAGAAGACCCUAUGGAGCUUUAAACAAUCCAGCAGUUACUUCUAAAAUUAUUAAUUUCAGAAUAUUCAUUUUUUAAGUAAUGUGUCUGCAAGUUUUUGGUUGGGGUGACCAUGGAGAAUAACAUAACCUCCAUAUUGAAUGAACUCCCUUCUAAGCUGAAAAUUACCAAUUGAAGCAUCAACAUACUGACAUCUAUUGACCCAAUAUAUUUGAUCAACGAACCAAGUUACCCUAGGGAUAACAGCGCAAUCCACUUCAAGAGCCCCUAUCGACAAGUGGGUUUACGACCUCGAUGUUGGAUCAGGGUAUCCCAGUGGCGCAGCCGCUACUAAAGGUUCGUUUGUUCAACGAUUAAAACCCU
rnacentral:rRNA from 1 species